CCCUUAGAUGUUCUGGGCCGCACGCGCGCUACACUGACGAAGUCAGCGAGCAUGUCCUACGCCGACAGGUGCGGGGAAUCUUGUCAAACUUCGUCGUGAUGGGGAUUGAUUAUUGAAAUUCUUGAUCAUCAACGAGGAAUUCCUAGUAAGCGCAAGUCAGCAGCUUGCGUUGAUUACGUCCCUGCCCUUUGUACACACCGCCCGUCGCUCCUACCGAUUGAGUGAUCCGGUGAGGCUCUGGGACCUGGACGGAAAGAGCGUUUCGCUUGUUCUGUUUGGGAAACUUGGUCGAACCUUAUCAUUUAGAGGAAGGAGAAGUCGUAACA
rnacentral:rRNA from 1 species